UUCUUCAUUUAUCUUCUACUUUUCUAUCGGCAGAGCUGUGAUGUGAAAAUGAAAGCAAUACUUUGGGUUCUAGUUGUGAAUUUUGUUUUCAGCUGGAUUAUUUCUAUUAAAUCUCUUUGUUUUCUCUCCCUAUCUGUUGUUCUUUUCACAAACCCUAGAAAUUGAUAGAGAUGGCAUCAGAUCAGUGGUAAGAUUUAUUUGAGGAGAUUCAGAACUUCUAUAGAUUUUUUUAAUAGAUGGAUCUCCUUUGCCUGAGAAAUCACUGGAGAGAGUCGUGGAGGAUGGAGGUCGUUAUUUCAAAUUAUAAAUAAGCAGGUGAUAUCAUGAGGAGUUUUGUUCCAAUGGGUGUUUCUAGAUCAAUUGAUGCACUUGCGAAUGCAGACAUUGAGGCCAGAGUACAAUCAAAUCCUUGUGAAGAUGCCUGGGGUUGUGACUUAUUGGGAAAUUAGGAAUCCUCCAUCUAGGGGUAAAAGCUUAUAAACGGUCCUGCUCUUUUCGGUAGCACAGCUGCUUUCAACCUUCAAGACCUACCUAUGUACUCGCGAGUUAACAAUUAAUAAUAGAACCAUUUCUUGGGACCAUGAUUUUUCUGGGAGGACCAUGAUUUGAUUAGGCCAUCCUCCAUAUAAUUUUAAGGGGUGUCCUAAAGUUCCAAAAUGACCAAGUUACCCUUUACUUAAAUAAAUAUUUAUUUUAAUUUUUCA